CAGCAGCCGCGGGAAUACGUAGGUCCCGAGCGUUGUCCGGAUUUAUUGGGCGUAAAGCGAGCGCAGGCGGUUUGAUAAGUCUGAAGUUAAAGGCUGUGGCUCAACUAUAGUUCGCUUAGGAAACUGUCAAACUUGAGUGCAGAAGGGGAGAGUGGAAUUCCAUGUGUAGCGGUGAAAUGCGUAGAUAUAUGGAGGAACACCGGUGGCGAAAGCGGCUCUCUGGCUUGUAACUGACGCUGAGGCUCGAAAGCGUGGGGAGCAAACAGGAUUAGAUACCCGUGUAGUCCCUGUCUCUUAUACC
rnacentral:rRNA from 1 species